GAUGAACGCUGGCGGCGUGCUUAACACAUGCAAGUCGAACGAAGCACCUUGAUUUGAUUCUUCGGAUGAAGAUCUUGGUGACUGAGUGGCGGACGGGUGAGUAACGCGUGGGUAACCUGCCUCAUACAGGGGGAUAACAGUUAGAAAUGACUGCUAAUACCGCAUAAGACCACAGCACCGCAUGGUGCAGGGGCAAAAACUCCGGUGGUAUGAGAUGGACCCGCGUCUGAUUAGGUAGUUGGUGGGGUAACGGCCUACCAAGGCGACGAUCAGUAGCCGGUCUGAGAGGAUGAACGGCCACAUUGGAACUGAGACACGGUCCAG
rnacentral:rRNA from 1 species